CCUACGGGAGGCAGCAGUGAGGAAUAUUGGUCAAUGGCCGGAAGGCUGAACCAGCCAUGCCGCGUGAAGGAUGAAGGAUCUAUGGUUUGUAAACUUCUUUUAUAUGGGAAUAAAGUGAGGAACGUGUUCCUUUUUGUAUGUACCAUAUGAAUAAGCAUCGGCUAACUCCGUGCCAGCAGCCGCGGUAAUACGGAGGAUGCGAGCGUUAUCCGGAUUUAUUGGGUUUAAAGGGUUCGUAGGGGGUUAAUUAAGUCAGCGGUGAAAGGUUGUGGCUCAACCAUAAGAUUGCCGUUGAAACUGGUUGACUUGAGUAUAUGUGAGGUAGGCGGAAUGCGUGGUGUAGCGGUGAAAUGCAUAGAUAUCACGCAGAACUCCGAUUGCGAAGGCAGCUUACUAGCCUAUAACUGACACUGAGGCACGAAAGCGUGGGGAUCAAACAGGAUUAGAUACCCGAGUAGUC
rnacentral:rRNA from 1 species